rnacentral:rRNA from 1 species
UACGUAGGGGGCAAGCGUUGUCCGGAAUCAUUGGGCGUAAAGAGCGUGUAGGCGGUCCGGUAAGUCAGCUGUGAAAGUCAAGGGCUCAACCCUUGAAAGCCGGUUGAUACUGUCGGGCUAGAGUCCGGAAGAGGCGAGUGGAAUUCCCGGUGUAGCGGUGAAAUGCGCAGAUAUCAGGAGGAACACCGGUGGCGAAGGCGGGACUCUGGGCCGAUACUGACGCUGAGGAGCGAAAGCGUGGGGAGCAAACAGG